GGGACCAUUAACAUGUUUAUUUUAUUUAUUUUUUUUAUCGCUUCGAACGUGUACAAAGAAAUACUUUACUAAGCAGUGGUAUUAAUAAUGGAUUACCCUUCCCCCUCCUGAAAUCAGAAGUAAGGAGGGGGACGGGUGUGAAGCUGUGCGGUUGCUGUACGUGGCUGAGGAGAGUGUAGGUAGGUAGGCCAUAACUACGCACAUAAGUCUGCGCAGAUGACGCAGGAUGCUGCAGCCUGAACGUAGCAUCAAAUACCUAUAACAUUUUAAAUCGUCGGGGUGUAGUGUUAAAACAAAAGAAACGGUCUGAAUUAAAAAGAAGACGGUCGAUAAAUGUUGAAAGUGAAUGUUUUUUUACGCAGUUUUGUCUAUUGCCGCCAAAAAAAAGCAUCAAUAACGACUAAUAAUUUGGAGAUGAAAGCUUCUGCGAGCUAAUCAACACUUCAAAUGAUUAGACGUACAUGACCGGGCCGUAGUCUUCAUAAUGGAAUCUACACUUCGACAGAAGCAGAUAUAUAAUAUUAUAUAACCUAUAUUUAUGUAUGAUACUUCUAAUCUAUAUUAUACUAUAAAAAUUAUUAACCAACUAUUUCAAAUACCUAUAAACAAAUAAUAAUAAUCACAUACAUAUUUUAAUUCUAAUAUAAGGUUAUUUAAGUCAAAUCAAAAAACAAAAUGGGAGAUAUGUUAAUAGAUUUGCUAAGAAGAAAAGAUAUCUUUGUACAUAUAAAUAUAGAAGGAAUCUGGUGACUUAAUUUUAUCAUAUAAUUUAAAAAUAUUCUCAUUUCAUUUGAAUUAGAUCAUGAAAUCGCGUUUUCUACAGUUCGUUUUCAUUUUUUUAUUUAUUAAUCGC